GGCCUGGUGGGGUGGUCCGCCUCACGGUGUGUACUGUCCGACUGGGUCUUACCUCUUGGUGAGCCGGCGUGCCCUUUAUUGGUGUGCGUCGGGGAACCAGGACUUUUACCUUGAGAAAAUUAGAGUGUUCAAAGCAGGCUUAUGCCCGAAUACAUUAGCAUGGAAUAAUAAAAUAGGACG
rnacentral:rRNA from 1 species